rnacentral:tRNA from 1 species
AUUUCGCCGUCUUCGUUUCUCUUUCUUCGCGGACGAACACGCGCUGGGGCUGCAAGCUUGCAGAAUCCCUGGUCCUUGACUGGAUAUGCGUUAGGGGCUUGUAGCUCAGUUGGUUAGAGCGCGCGCUUGAUAAGCGUGAGGUCGGAAGUUCAAGUCUUCCCAGGCCCACCAGCCUUCGCGCUUCGCUGCUUCGGCUAGGCGAGCCCUUGAUAUGAAGGCUGCCGUGCGGUGGCCUUGGCGAAGGCAGGCUAAUCAAGCAAGCAUUCGUCUUCUGGUUACGGGGCCAUAGCUCAGCUGGGAGAGCGCGUGCUUUGCAAGCAUGAGGUCGUCGGUUCGAUCCCGUCUGGCUCCACCAGAUGGUUUGAUCAUCGACUGAUCGUGCACCUACAAUCGUCCGCGAAACAUCACUUCGCAUCUUGCUAGUCUGGAUAGACAGCAAGUUGCGUGAUUUCUGACAUCGUAAAGAGGAGAUCGAUCCGAGUUGGAUCGUGCAGCAAGCAAUUGCUACGCGAGACUUCAUUAUCUCCGGAUCAUUUCGGCGCUCGUGCGUCUUUCAAGAGUAGCUCACAAGGCUGCGCUGGAAAGACAAGCGAGUUGUAAAUGAUCCUUUUAGCGAAGCUUGACCGCCUCGCUAUCGGAACGAUCUUACGAAGCAAGCUGGUCUUUCUAAUCAUUGUCCGGCUGCAGAUAGCGUUCAUCGAGGGCGCGUGCCGCAAGGUAAUUCUGCAGACAACAUUCUGCCGAGUGUGUGGACAUUGAUAAUGAGAGCAAUCAAGUGCCUUAAGGGUGUUCG